AAACGAACAGACAACGAAGCCCAGGUUCUAACACGGAUAUCAUAUGAUGGCAUCAAUCGGAAACUCCAUGGUGGCUUUCCUCUUUUUGCUCGCAAUUCUAUUUCCCAUAACAGUGGACUCCGGUAAGCCAUAUUCACGUGAGAGUAGUGAUCAAGCUCUCCAGAUUGGUUCAAGUCCUCCAGAUUGCUUGAAUAUGUGUCAGGGUUGCACACCCUGCACUCCUACUCUGAAAACAAUUCCACCUGAAGAAUAUUAUCCACAAGCAUGGAAAUGCGAAUGUGGAGGUCGCACAUAUGAACCUCAUCAUUGAUCCUACUACGAUGUCAUCACUACAUUUAUAUUCAAAUUUAAGUACGUAAAAUAAUUAUUUAGAUGAAUAAAAUUGAAUCUGUGAAACUACACUCCCUUUUUAUUGUUAUAUAAUUUUCUGUGCAAUUCAGUGAUUAAUAUAAAAAUGACUAUGAUUGGGCAUUGGGAAUAAGACGGCUUGCUAACUUCUCGGUCUU